rnacentral:rRNA from 1 species
GUCGAACGGCAACCGGCAGCAAUGCUGGUGAGAGUGGCGGACGGGCGCUUAACGCGUAUGCAACCUACCUUGCGGCGGGGGAUAGCCUGGAGAAAUCCAGAUUAAUACCCCAUGAGACCACGCCCCGGCAUCGGGGAGGGGUCAAAGAUUUAUCACCGCAAGAUGGGCAUGCGUGACAUUAGCUAGUUGGCGGGGUAACGGCCCACCAAGGCUACGAUGUCUAGCUGGUCUGAGAGGAUGAUCAGCCACACUGGGACUGAGACACGGCCCAGACUCCUACGGGAGGCAGCAGUAGGGAAUAUUGGACAAUGGGCGAAAGCCUGAUCCAGCCAUGCCGCGUGAAGGAUGAAGGGCCUCUGGCUUGUAAACUUCUUUUGGCGGGGGAUAAACCACCACUACAAGUGGUGCUGAAGGUACCCGCAGAAUAAGCACCGGCUAACUCCGUGCCAGCAGCCGCGGUAAUACGGAGGGUGCAAGCGUUGUCCGGAUUCAUUGGGUUUAAAGGGUGCGUAGGCGGUACGCUAAGUCAGUGGUGAAAUCCUGGGGCUCAACCCCUGAAUUGCCAUAGAUACUGGCGUGCUUGAGUUCGACCGAGGCGGUUGGAAUGCGUGGUGUAGCGGUGAAAUGCUUAGAUAUCACGCGGAACACCGAUUGCGAAGGCAGAUCGCUAGGUCGCGACUGACGCUGAGGCACGAAAGUGCGGGGAUCAAACAGGAUUAGAUACCCUGGUAGUCCGCACCGUAAACGAUGGAUACUAGGUGUC